rnacentral:lncRNA from 1 species
GGGGCCGAGGCACGCGCUCUGCCACCAAUAAGGAAGGAGGGGCGAGAGGAUUCCAUGACGGAGUACAGGGAGCUCUGGCCUCUCCCUGGGGUCAGGACACUUUAGUUUUGAGCUGUGAUGCCUCCUUCACCCCCAUGCGGAAGGGAUCGAGUUGUUACAACUUGUUUAGUGUUGCUAUAAUCAAAAGAGAAACAUCCUGAUUACUUCAGUGUAAUUCCCCAUUGAUCCAAGGUAACUGCAAAUUUCAUUUUGAGAUUAAAUUAGCGCUUCUGGGAGGUAACUGUAACUUAUUUGCUCUGUCUCUGAUGUCUGUUAAAGUGUGAGCUCACUUUCUGAAAUUGAAAACAAGCCUGUCUCUGAACCAGCUUCUCUUAGCAUCAAGAAUACCUAGAGACAAUGAGUUUUCAUUAGGUUAAUGUAACUUCGAAGGAGGAGGAAAUGAAGGGCAGAACAGAGAAUUAAGUCAGCUUAUGGAAAAUAUUUUUAUCAAGGGAAGAGAGGCAGUAUGGUAUAUUGUAUAGUGCAUUGGUCCUAAAGUCAGAAAAGGGUAUGGCAUCUUGGGCACAUCUGGCCUUACUCUCCUCAUAUGUAAGAUAAUAAAAAAUAGCCCCUACACUACA